UACGAAGGGGGCUAGCGUUGCUCGGAAUCACUGGGCGUAAAGCGCACGUAGGCGGCUUUUUAAGUCAGGGGUGAAAUCCUGGAGCUCAACUCCAGAACUGCCUUUGAUACUGAGAAGCUUGAGUCCGGGAGAGGUGAGUGGAACUGCGAGUGUAGAGGUGAAAUUCGUAGAUAUUAGGAAGAACACCAGUGGCGAAGGCGGCUCACUGGCCCGGUACUGACGCUGAGGCGCGAAAGCGUGGGGAGUAAACAGG
rnacentral:rRNA from 1 species